UACGGAGGGUGCAAGCGUUAUCCGGAUUCACUGGGUUUAAAGGGUGCGUAGGUGGGUUGGUAAGUCAGUGGUGAAAUCCCCGAGCUUAACUUGGGAACUGCCAUUGAUACUAUUAAUCUUGAAUACCGUGGAGGUCGGCGGAAUAUGUCAUGUAGCGGUGAAAUGCUUAGAUAUGACAUAGAACACCAAUUGCGAAGGCAGCUGGCUACACGAAUAUUGACACUGAGGCACGAAAGCGUGGGGAUCAAACAGG
rnacentral:rRNA from 1 species